rnacentral:lncRNA from 1 species
ACGUGAUGACCUGGCUGUCAUCCUAUCGAGCCAGCAAAACACUAAAAGCGCGGCUGUUAACAAGGUGGCGGAGCAGCGGCGUAAGCGCAUUCAAGAGCAGGAAGAUAGCGUCAACCAAAUGCACAAGACAGUCAACGAGCAGCCCCGCAUGAUCAGGCUCAAGGAGGAUGCAGAACGCAGUGCCAAGAAGCUCCAGCAGGAGAUAUCGAACAUGAAGCAGGCGCGGGUGCAGCUAAUGA